AUUGAACGCUGGCGGCAGGCCUAACACAUGCAAGUCGAACGAGUGGCGGACUGGUGAGUAAUGUCUGUGAAACUGCCUGAUGGAGGGGGAUAACUACUGGAAACGGUAGCUAAUACCGCAUACCAUCUUAUGUGCCCAGAUGGGAUUAGCUAGUAGGUGGGGUAAAGGCGUACCUAGGCGACGAGCCCUAGCUGGUCUGAGAGGAUGACCAGCAACACUGGAACUGAGACACGGUCCAGACUAAUACGGGAUGCAGCAGUGGGGAAUAUUGCACAAUGGGCGCAAGCCUGAUGCAGCCAUGCGGCGUGUAUGAAGAAGGCCUUCGGUUUGUAAAGUACUUUCAGCGGGGAGGCGUUACCCGCAGAAGAAGCACCGGCUAACUCCGUGCCAGCCGCCGCGGUAGUUA
rnacentral:rRNA from 1 species